rnacentral:rRNA from 1 species
UACGAAGGGUGCAAGCGUUAUCCGGAUUCAUUGGGUUUAAAGGGUGCGUAGGCGGGGCAAUAAGUCAGUGGUGAAAUCCUGCGGCUUAACCGUAGAAUUGCCAUUGAUACUGUUGCUCUUGAGUAGGCUCGACGUGGGCGGAAUGUGCCGUGUAGCGGUGAAAUGCUUAGAUAUGUAUUAGAACACCGAUUGCGAAGGCAGUUCACUAGGCGUGUAUUGACACUGAGGCUCGAAAGCGUGGGGAUCAAACAGG